rnacentral:rRNA from 1 species
UACGUAGGGGGCGAGCGUUGUCCGGAAUUAUUGGGCGUAAAGAGCGCGCAGGCGGUCGUUCAAGUCGCGUGUGAAAGCCCCCGGCUCAACUGGGGAGGGUCACGCGAUACUGAUCGACUCGAAGGCAGGAGAGGGAAGUGGAAUUCCCGGUGUAGUGGUGAAAUGCGUAGAUAUCGGGAGGAACACCAGUGGCGAAGGCGACUUCCUGGCCUGUUCUUGACGCUGAGGCGCGAAAGCUAGGGGAGCAAACGGG